GACGGACGCUGGCGGCGUGCUUAACACAUGCAAGUCGAACGAUGAAGCCGGAGCUUGCUCUGGUGAAUUAGUGGCGAACGGGUGAGUAACACGUGAGUAACCUGCCCUUGACUCUGGGAUAACUGCGGGAAGCUGUAGCUAAUACCGGAUACGACCCUCGGAGGCAUCUCCUGGGGGUGGAAAGAAUUUCGGUCAAGGAUGGACUCGCGGCCUAUUAGCUAGUUGGUGAGGUAAAGGCUCACCAAGGCGACGACGGGUAGCCGGCCUGAGAGGGUGACCGGCCACACUGGGACUGAGACACGGCCCAGACUCCUACGGGAGGCAGCAGUGGGGAAUAUUGCACAAUGGGCGCAAGCCUGAUGCAGCAACGCCGCGUGAGGGAUGACGGCCUUCGGGUUGUAAACCUCUUUUAGCAGGGAAGAAGCGAAAGUGACGGUACCUGCAGAAAAAGCACCGGCUAACUACGUGCCAGCAGCCGCAGUAA
rnacentral:rRNA from 1 species